GACUCGAUAGCUCGAUGGGUAGAGCGGCGGUCUAGAUACCCGAAGAUGCGAGUUCAAAUCCCGCUCGAGCCA